CAUGUCUUUCUCCAUUCCUCCUACUAAGUACAACUAAAAACCAUGGACGUUAUAUAUAAAACAAACAGAAGAAGACUCUGAAAGGCGGAGAGAAGAUGGCAGAUUGGCUAUGGAAAUCAGGACCCAAGAAACAACACAGCAGAGCGAAGCCUGCCGCCACGUCCUGUUCGCUGUCUGCUGCACACGGUGGGGUGUCAUUCCAGGACCUUGCUUCAGACAGGCUUCGGCUCAGAGGAGAUAAUGACACUCGGGGAAGAGGAUUCCCAGCUUUGCAGAGACAAGGGCAGCAAUGCUGGAGAACCUCAGGCUCCCUCUAUGCCUGGAAUAGCCGUGGGGGCCGGAAAUGAUUCCCAGGGAUCCUGGACUCUCAGAAGACACCUGUCAGUGUGUCCCAGAAAAUAUACAGCCACAGAGACAAAAGGAUGAAAAUUUUAAAGACGGAGAUAUUGACAAAGUGAGACAAGGGUGGAAACGAAAAUAUUGCAGAUUUCCAAAG